CAGGCCUUGACAUCCAAUGAACUUUCCAGAGAUGGAUUGGUGCCUUCGGGAACAUUGAGACAGGUGCUGCAUGGCUGUCGUCAGCUCGUGUCGUGAGAUGUUGGGUUAANUCCCGUAACGAGCGCAACCCUUGUCCUUAGUUACCAGCACGUCAUGGUGGGCACUCUAAGGAGACUGCCGGUGACAAACCGGANGAAGGUGGGGAUGACNUCAAGUCAUCAUGGCCCUUACGGCCUGGGCUACACACGUGCUACAANGGUCGGUANAGAGGGUUGCCAAGCCGCGAGGUGGAGCUAAUCCCANANAANCGAUCGUANUCCGGAUCGCAAUCNGAAACUCGACUGCNNUGAANUCGGAAAUCGCUAGUAAUCGCGAANCACAAUGUCNCCNGUNAAUACGUUU
rnacentral:rRNA from 1 species